rnacentral:rRNA from 1 species
CACGUGAGAAUUUACCUUUAGGAGGGGAAUAACAGUUGGAAACGAUUGCUAAUGCCGCAUAUCAUUUAUAUGAAAGAAGAAAUUCGCCUAAAGAAAAGCUUGCGUCUGAUUAGCUAGUUGGUAAGGGUAAAGGCCUACCAAGGCGACGAUCAGUAGCUGGCUUGAGAGGACGACCAGUCACACUGGAACUGAGACACGGUCCAGACUCCUACGGGAGGCAGCAGUGGGGAAUAUUGCACAAUGGGCGAAAGCCUGAUGCAGCCAUGCCGCGUGUGUGAAGAAGGCCUCGGUUGUAAGCAC